GACGAACGCUGGCGGCGUGCCUAAUACAUGCAAGUCGAACGCUUUUUCUUUCACCGGAGCUUGCUCCACCGAAAGGAAAAGAGUGGCGAACGGGUGAGUAACACGUGGGUAACCUGCCCAUCAGAAGGGGAUAACACUUGGAAACAGGUGCUAAUACCGUAUAACACUAUUUUCCGCAUGGAAGAAAGUUGAAAGGCGCUUUUGCGUCACUGAUGGAUGGACCCGCGGUGCAUUAGCUAGUUGGUGAGGUAACGGCUCACCAAGGCAACGAUGCAUAGCCGACCUGAGAGAGUGAUCGGCCACACUGGGACUGGGACACGGCCCAGACUCCUACGGGAGGCAGCAGUAGGGAAUCUUCGGCAAUGGACGAAAGUCUGACCGAGCAACGCCGCGUGAGUGAAGAAGGUUUUCGGAUCGUAAAACUCUGUUGUUAGAGAAGAACAAGGAUGAGAGUAAAAUGUUCAUCCCUUGACGGUAUCUAACCAGAAAGCCACGGCUAACUACGUGCCAGCAGCAGCCGCCG
rnacentral:rRNA from 1 species